AGAAUCAACGCUGGCGGCGUGCCUAACACAUGCAAGUCGCACGAGAAAGGGGCUUCGGCUCUGAGUAAAGUGGCGCACGGGUGAGUAACACGUGAAUUAUCUACCUCCGAGUGGGGAAUAACUGAGAGAAAUCUUAGCUAAUACCGCAUAACACUUACGGGUCAAAGCAGCAAUGCACUUGGAGAGGAGUUCGCGGCCGAUUAGUUAGUUGGCGGGGUAAUGGCCCACCAAGACGAUGAUCGGUA
rnacentral:rRNA from 1 species